ACUCAUACCCGCGGCGGAGCGGGGAGGCGGCGGGAGCGGCCCGGCCGGGCAGGUGUGAACCAGUGCAGAUUCUAAAGCAAACUCUGAAAAUCUUUCUGAAUAAUCCUGUUCCGUAGCUGAUUGGAUGUAGCAGAGUUUCUGCUGAAGCAAACUGAGCCCAGCGAUACAAACAUUAAAUGUUUCAGAUAGCCAAAUCCUCCUUUGUUCCCAGUUACGUGGCGCUGGUGAGCCAAUUCCGUGAACAAGAAAGGUGGGCUAUUCUGGGAGGGGUUUCUUACCUAAAAAUUAAUUCCCCUGCAGCACCCAGAGAAAUGAAAACUUUAGGUAUUCCUGGGUGUUUUUGCAGUUCUGUUGGUUGCUAAAAUCAAAACUGGGUGUGGAAGUCUGCCCGCAGGUGACUGGUAGCCACCGGUGGGAGUCCUGGCUUAGCUCAUGUGGGCAUGGGGACCGGGGGGGGGGAGGGUUUGCAAGUCACUUAGCCGGGAUAUUGUGUCACCGUUUUUACAGGCAAUCGAGAGAAAAAGAACAAAACGUGAGCCUUUAUGGCCUCAAAGGGAGACCGUAUAAUGACAGUUGUGGAAGGGAGAGGGCUACCGAUCGGUGCUCAUAAGGCAUUUCGUGUUUUUGUAGAAUCUCACGACAGGAAGGGGACGUUUGGCGACGUCAGGACCGCGAUGCCGCCGGUGGCAGUGGACGCAGCGAGCUGGCUUUCUGUGGAGAUGACGGCGGGCCGCGGAGGCACCGGGUGACUACAGCUCCCAGCAGCACCGCGGCGGCGCCG